AGAGUUUGAUCCUGGCUCAGAUUGAACGCUGGUGGCAUGCUUAACACAUGCAAGUCGAACGGUAACAGGUCUUCGGAUGCUGACGAGUGGCGGACGGGUGAGUAACGCGUAGGAAUCUGCCAUCUGUGGGGGAUACCAGUUGGAAACGACUGUUAAUACCGCAUAAUAUCUGCGGAUUAAAGGUGGCCUUUGCGCUGCCGCAGAUGGAUGAGCCUGCGUUGGAUUAGCUAGUUGGUGGGGUAAGGGCCUACCAAGGCUACGAUCCAUAGCUGAUUUGAGAGGAUGAUCAGCCACAUUGGGACUGAGACACGGCCCAAACUCCUACGGGAGGCAGCAGUGGGGAAUAUUGGACAAUGGGGGAAACCCUGAUCCAGCAAUGCCAUGUGUGUGAAGAAGGCUCUAGGGUUGUAAAGCACUUUAGUUGGGGAGGAAAGCCUGUGAGUUAAUAGCUUGCAGGAAGGACGUUGCCCAAAGAAUAAGGACCGGCUAACUCCGUGCCAGCAGCCGCGGUAAUACGGGGGGUCCGAGCGUUAAUCGGAAUUACUGGGCGUAAAGGGUCUGUAGGUGGUUUGUUAAGUCAGAUGUGAAAGCCCAGGGCUCAACCUUGGAACUGCAUUUGAUACUGACAAACUAGAGUAUGGUAGAGGAAUAGGGAACUUCUGGUGUAGCGGUGAAAUGCGUAGAGAUCAGAAGGAACACCAAUGGCGAAGGCAACAUUCUGGACCAAUACUGACACUGAGGGACGAAAGCGUGGGGAUCAAACAGGAUUAGAUACCCUGGUAGUCCACGCUGUAAACGAUGAGUACUAGCUGUUGGAUUCGGUGUAAAGGAUCUAGUGGCGCAGCUAACGCGUUAAGUACUCCGCCUGGGGACUACGGCCGCAAGGCUAAAACUCAAAGGAAUUGACGGGGACCCGCACAAGCGGUGGAGCAUGUGGUUUAAUUCGAUGCAACGCGAAGAACCUUACCUGGUCUUGACAUCCUGCGAACUUUCUAGAGAUAGAUUGGUGCCUUCGGGAACGCAGUGACAGGUGCUGCACGGCUGUCGUCAGCUCGUGUUGUGAAAUGUUGGGUUAAGUCCCGCAACGAGCGCAACCCCUAUUGAUAGUUACCAUCAUUAAGUUGGGUACUCUAUUGAGACUGCCGCUGACAAGGCGGAGGAAGGUGGGGACGACGUCAAGUCAUCAUGGCCCUUACGACCAGGGCUACACACGUGCUACAAUGGGUAUUACAGAGGGCUGCGAAGGUGCGAGCUGGAGCGAAACUCAGAAAGGUACUCUUAGUCCGGAUUGCAGUCUGCAACUCGACUGCAUGAAGUCGGAAUCGCUAGUAAUCGCAGGUCAGAAUACUGCGGUGAAUACGUUCCCGGGUCUUGUACACACCGCCCGUCACACCAUGGGAGUGGGUUGCUCCAGAAGUAGAUAGCUUAACGAAUGGGCGUUUACCACGGAGUGAUUCAUAACUGGGGUGAAGUCGUAACAAGGUAGCCGUAGGGGAACCUGCGGCUGGAUCACCU
rnacentral:rRNA from 4 species